AUUGAACGCUGGCGGAAUGCUUUACACAUGCAAGUCGAACGGUAGAGGGGGCAACCCCUCGAGAGUGGCGAACGGGUGAGUAAUAUAUCGGAACGUGCCCAGUCGUGGGGGAUAACGUAGCGAAAGUUACGCUAAUACCGCAUACGAUCUACGGAUGAAAGCGGGGGAUCGCAAGACCUCGCGCGAUUGGAGCGGCCGAUAUCAGAUUAGGUAGUUGGUGGGGUAAAGGCUCACCAAGCCAACGAUCUGUAGCUGGUCUGAGAGGACGACCAGCCACACUGGAGCUGAGACACGGUCCAGACUCCUACGGGAGGCAGCAGUGGGGAAUUUUGGACAAUGGACGCAAGUCUGAUCCAGCCAUUCCGCGUGCAGGAUGAAGGCCCUCGGGUUGUAAACUGCUUUUGUACGGAACGAAAAGGUUUCCAUUAAUACAGUUUGCUAAUGACGGUACCGUAAGAAUAAGCACCGGCUAACUACGUGCCAGCCGCCGCCGUAA
rnacentral:rRNA from 1 species